ensembl:lncRNA
GCUCAUACGGGUUUGUGCAUAAUGAGAUCUUUCAUGUAUAUGUUGGUUUCUCCACAGAUGCACACAUCUGAAGCUCUCAGAGGAUGAGGAGGAGGAGGAAAGCUCAGGUGAUUCGACCGCAGCUCCUCCAGGACAUGUUUUGAGCACCAUUUAAGAGCACUACAUUGACAACAUGAUGAUCUGAUCAUCAUCUACUUCUGAGACUGAUCUGAGAUCUGGACCCUGAUGAUCACAAACGCUGCUGUUGAUCAUUAUUUUCUCAGAUUUGUUCCUGUUGUUUACUACUUUUGUCAACCGAGUGAAAGUGAAGCAGGUCCGAGGCUGCUCUGAUUGGAUGGAGACUGGGCCUAAUUUGUAUAUUCAUGAUUCCUCAAAAUACUAACUGAGAUUCCUCCGCAUUCAGCAUGGAUCCGUCUGGACCACGUUUGAGACACAGAACACAACGCUUUCUGUCCCGAAUGUUCCCACUCAGGAUCCGGGCAGGAAACCUCCUCUGCAUUUCUUGGCGGUCCGUCCAUUGACCCCUCAGCGCAGCGGACGCGGCCAGGCUUCAUCUUCAGGGACUAAGAGAGACGGUGUUUUCACUCCAAACGAGUUAAAGUCUAAUUACUGCAGGCCAUUUACCAGUGUGAGGGACGACGGCCAGCGGUCUUCUGUCUCAGACGGCCCUGCUGUGCUCUCAUAAUCAUGAGCUGAGGAACCUGGAGGACUGGUGUUAGAAAGCAUUUCCUAAUAGAAGACAGCAGCUUUAUUUAGACAGGGUGCAGUUUUGGUGUAUCAAUUGAAAUCGGUUUUAUUUGUUUUUAAACACAAAAAUACACAAAAUCAGUUUUAAACUACUGAACCGCUCUGGCCUUGUUCGUACAGGCUUCAAAAAAUAUUAUUUUUUGUCUAUCAGACUCAAUUU